rnacentral:lncRNA from 10 species
AGUUUUUACUAAGGCUAAUUGUGAAAUUGAAUACUCCUCACAUAGGGAGUUUUUAAUGUUUGCAGAGGCAUUUUGUCAGCAGUUUUUGUGCUAUUUAAAAGAUCAGUGUCUAAUGGGAUUAAGUUGGAUAAUCAAAUAACAAACUGAGAUCUGGGUACAUGGUUUGAUGCCUGUGGAGUACUUCUUUGAUGAAUAUAAAUGAAAAGUGUCUCGUGGUUUGGAGUAGAAGUCACCAUGCCACUACGCAUGGUGUUUCUGCUAAGUCAGCACCUUGGCAUGAAAUUGAGACUCAGAUGGAGAAGUGGACUAAUAUGAGAAGAAGAAACCUGGCAAGGUUUCACUUUAGUGGAAUGGAAAAUGCUGUGUGAUAUUAUGCCAGAAGAAUAGAAAAAAGAAAGAAGGUACAUGACGGGUUUGAGAAAUUAAGGAUCCUGGCAAAUUCUUUGUCACUAUUCCCACUGUUAGGUGGAAACUGGAGUACACAGACACUAGAACUAGCUGGCCGCUUCUGAGCUGGCAGGGGUGGACUCCACUCUCUGGGUCCCACUGUGUUCCACCUGUCUCAGGAGUAGGAGUGCAGGAUUUGAAUCAAGAGCCAUGAUUUCAUGUUAUAGAAAACUGUACAUUCUUCAAUUAAUGAAAAUGAAGAGCUUAUUGACUAAAUAUUAUUGAAGAAAUUCAUUAUCUGUGAGAACACGAAAAAUUUGCGACCUAUCCCAAAUUUCAAGCAAGCAGUGGAGGAGAACUAACUUGACAGCAUGUUGAAACAUGCAAUGGAGAAAAAGUGUAAGGUCAAUGGAGACUGCUAUUUUUUGGUGGAGCAAUUACAUUUACAGAGCAUUUUGCAAUGUACAAAACUUUACAUGAAAAUUUACAAUUUGUAUUCUUUUGAGUUUCUUAUAGUCACUAGAAAGGUAAAUAAGUCAGGGUUUGCCCAAUGUCCCAUCAACUCUAAAUAGUAAAGGGAAGAGGAGUUCAGAUGUCUGGCUCCUAGGCAAUCUCUCCAAUCUCUCUUCAUUUCAGUUAGCUGCUUCUUCUGACUACCUGUCUUAAUUUUCUCCAUGCUGUUAUUCUUUCACGAUAUGCUUACCACAUUUGAUCUAACACUUAGUAUGGUGUGUGGUACAUAACAGGAGCUCAAUGAAUACGUACGUGUUGAAUGAAUAACUGGAUGAAUGAAUAAAUAAAUGAGUAGAUAAGUGAGUGUGUUCAUUCGUGUUCAAGACACUGGAGUCUGAGUUGGUGGUUACAUUUAGCACCUUUAGCAGGGUUGCUCUAACAUACCUGAUACAUACUUUCUUUCAGAAGAUGGCAAUUUGGAUCAUUUUGCCUCUUUUAUUCUAUGAUUUGACAAGCAUUGAGUUUUUUGAGUACUAUUUUUUGCUUUGUUUGAGGAUGUUUAUUUCAUUUUGAGAAGCUAAUAUCUUGUAAGGAUGGUACACUGGGAAUUACAAAGUGAUCUGCAGUUUUAUUUUCCUUAUAUUUGAGUUUAAGAAAUCUCCUAAAUAGGAAAAUUGAAAAGAAACUCUUAUAGUUUUACAUGAUACAUGAACCAGACCCCUCUAUUUCAUAAGCUACUCUUAUACAUGCUAUCUUCAUAAUUAGUUUCUUUAUUAUCAGACAUUAAGAAAAGUUUGGAAGGCUCAAAAAUCUUCCCUGAUAUUUUUCAUUUUCUACAACAGUAGGCUCACAGUGAUCUAGGUGAUGACAUUUAUGAAUCCUGUAUGUAGUUUUCAACUUCCCUAAGAAAUAUUUACAUUUUUUCCAACUUAGUUUAUUCACUUGUCCUGCUCAAUGUGUUGGUAUAAAUAUGGAUUUAAUUCUCAUUAUAUUUUCACUUUGGGCUUGUCAUUCUGUGCUGAAUUGGAAUUUUCAAUCUUAAUGCCAUACAUGAAUAUUUACAUGGAUUGUUGGAUUGCAAAAAGGAGCUGGAAAAGAAACUAUCAUCAGAGCAAACCGACAACCUACAAUGGGAGAAAAUUUUUGCAACCUAUCCAAUUAACAAAGGUCUAAUAUCGAGAGUCUACAUCUAUGAGGAAGUUAAACAAGCUAUAGGAAAAACAACCCCAUUAAAAAGUGGACAAAGGACAUGAAUAGACACUUCUCAAAAGAAGACAUUUAUGUGGCCAACAAACAUGAUAAAAAGCUUAACAUCACUGAUCAUUAGGGAAAUGCAAAUGAAAACCACAAUGAGAUACUAUCUCACACCAGUCAGAAUGGCCAUUAUUAAAAAGCCAAAAAACAACAGAUGCUGGCAAGGCUGUGGAGAAAUAGAAACACUUUUACACUGUUAGUGGACAUGUAAAUUAGUUCAACCAUUGUGGAAGACAGUGUGGUGAUUCCUAAAAGACCUAGAACCAGAAAUACUUUUUGACCGAGUAAUCUCAUUACAGGGUAUAUAUCCAAAGGGCUAUAAAUCCCUCUAUUAUUAUUAUUAUUAUUUGAGAUGGAGUCUCACUCUGUCUCCAGGCCGGAGUGCAGUGGCGUGAUAUCAGCUCACUGCAACCUCCACCUCCCAGGAUUAAGCAAUUAUCUUGCCUCAGCUUCCUGAGUAGUUGGGACUACAGGCGCACACCACCACGCCCAGCUAAUUUUUUUUUUUUUUUGUAUUUUUGGUAGAGACGGGGUUUCAUCAUGUUGGCCAGGAUGGUCUUGAUCUCUUGACAUCAUGGUCUGCCCACCUCGACCUCCUAAAGUGCUGGGAUUACAGAUAAGAGCCACUGAACUUGGCCAUAAAUCAUUCUAUUAUAAAGAUACAUGCACACAUAUGUUCACUGCAGCACUCUUCACAAUAGCAAUGACAUGGAAUCAAUCCAAAUGCCCAUCAGUGAAAGACUGGAUAAAGAAAAUGUGGUACGUAUAUACCAUAGAAUAGUAUGCAGCCAUAAAAAGGAAUAAGGUCAUGACCUUUGCAGGAACAGAUCGAACUGGAAGUCAUUAUCCUCAGCAAACUAACACAGGAACAGAAAACCAAAUACUGCAUGUUCUCACAUCUAAGUGGGAGCUGAACAAUGAGAACACAUGGACACAGGGAAGGGAACAAAACACACUGAGGCCUGUCAGUAGUGGGGAGUAGAGAGGGAGAGGAUCAGGAAAAAUAGCUAAUUCACACUGGGCUUAAUACUUAGGUGAUGGGUUGAUAGAUGAAGCGAACCACCAUGGCACAUGUUUACCUAUGUAACAAAGCUGCACAUCCUGCACAUGUACCCUGGAACUUAAAAUAAAAUAAAAAUAAAAGAAUAAAGGAGCUGGGUUGUUGGAUUAAAAGAGUUGUUGGAUUCAAAAGAAGACAGGCAGGACUGUAUGCACAUGGUAAAUGCUGCUAGGGAAACAAUUCCUUAGUAAACAUUUUUAAUUGUGGUUGAACAUGAAUCAAGGUAGUUUUCACAAAGAAAUAGUACCACUAGAAUGAAUGUAUAGUAUUUUUUAAUAUAAAUGCAGAAUGAUACCGUGUGGACUAUGCACUUCAGCAAUAACUUUUAGUAAUUGCAAUCAUAUCAAUUCUGCAGUUAAAGGGAUUGCU